CUCUCAAAACAAGCAUCUUUAAGUGAUGACUCUGCAGAUUAACAGAGGCUAGAUGCUUACUGGCACAGAGAGAUGCUUCUCAGAGAUGCUAAAUCAAGUACCCUGGACUAAAAGAAACUCUCACAUCCUCCUCAGGUGAGGUUUCUGGAUGCAUUUCCCUGUCACAGUACCCUAUGCCAUUGGUGUAAGCUUCAUCAUUUUUAAUGUCAUGACUCAUCGGGUGGAUGGAUCUGUUUCAGAGGGCCAAUUCCCAGCAGGAUAGCAUCCAGGGCAGACUUCCUGUGCCGUGGCUCUGUUGUCUAGCCUUUUAAGAG
rnacentral:lncRNA from 1 species